rnacentral:rRNA from 1 species
AAGACCUUGCGCUUUUAGAGCGGCCGAUGCCUGAUUAGCUUGUUGGUGAGGUAAAAGCUCACCAAGGCUUCGAUCAGUAGCUGGUCUGAGAGGACGACCAGCCACACUGAGACUGAGACACGGCCCAGACUCCUACGGGAGGCAGCAGUGGGGAAUUUUGGACAAUGGGGGCAACCCUGAUCCAGCCAUGCCGCGUGAGUGAAGAAGGCCUUCGGGUUGUAAAGCUCUUUCAGCCGGAACGAAACGGUUACGGUUAAUACCCGUGACUACUGACGGUACCGGAAGAAGAAGCACCGGCUAACUACGUGCCAGCAGCCGCGGUAAUACGUAGGGUGCGAGCGUUAAUCGGAAUUACUGGGCGUAAAGCGUGCGCAGGUGGUUUUGUAAGUCAGAUGUGAAAUCCCCGGGCUUAACCUGGGAACU